AUACGAAGGGGGCUAGCGUUGUUCGGAAUUACUGGGCGUAAAGCGCGCGUAGGCGGACUGAUCAGUUGGGGGUGAAAUCCCAGGGCUUAACCCUGGAACUGCCUCCAAUACUGUCAGUCUUGAGUUCGGGAGAGGUGAGUGGAAUUCCUAGUGUAGAGGUGAAAUUCGUAGAUAUUCGGAGGAACACCAGUGGCGAAGGCGGCUCACUGGCUCGAUACUGACGCUGAGGUGCGAAAGCGUGGGGAGCAAACAGGAUUAGAAACCCUAGUAGUCC
rnacentral:rRNA from 1 species